rnacentral:rRNA from 1 species
GAUGAACGCUGGCGGCGUGCUUAACACAUGCAAGUCGAACGGGAAACCUUUUAUUGAAGCUUCGGCAGAUUUAGCUGGUUUCUAGUGGCGGACGGGUGAGUAACGCGUGGGUAACCUGCCUUAUACAGGGGGAUAACAACCAGAAAUGGUUGCUAAUACCGCAUAAGCGCACAGGACCGCAUGGUCCGGUGUGAAAAACUCCGGUGGUAUAAGAUGGACCCGCGUUGGAUUAGCUAGUUGGCAGGGUAACGGCCUACAAAGGCGACGAUCCAUAGCCGGCCUGAGAGGGUGAACGGCCACAUUGGGACUGAGACACGGCCCAGACUCCUACGGGAGGCAGCAGUGGGGAAUAUUGCACAAUGGGGGAAGCCCUGAUGCAGCGACGCCGCGUGAAGGAAGAAGUAUCUCGGUAUGUAAACUUCUAUCAGCAGGGAAGAUAGUGACGGUACCUGACUAAGAAGCCCCGGCUAACUACGUG